rnacentral:rRNA from 1 species
UGCAAGUCGAGCGGACAGAAGGGAGCUUGCUCCCGGAUGUUAGCGGCGGACGGGUGAGUAACACGUGGGUAACCUGCCUGUAAGACUGGGAUAACUCCGGGAAACCGGAGCUAAUACCGGAUAGUUCCUUGAACCGCAUGGUUCAAGGAUGAAAGACGGUUUCGGCUGUCACUUACAGAUGGACCCGCGGCGCAUUAGCUAGUUGGUGAGGUAACGGCUCACCAAGGCGACGAUGCGUAGCCGACCUGAGAGGGUGAUCGGCCACACUGGGACCGAGACACGGCCCAGACUCCUACGGGAGGCAGCAGUAGGGAAUCUUCCGCAAUGGACGAAAGUCUGACGGAGCAACGCCGCGUGAGUGAUGAAGGUUUUCGGAUCGUAAAGCUCUGUUGUUAGGGAAGAACAAGUGCAAGAGUAACUGCUUGCGCCUUGACGGUACCUAACCAGAAAGCCACGGCUAACUACGUGCCAGCAGCCGCGGUAAUACGUAGGUGGCAAGCGUUGUCCGGAAUUAUUGGGCGUAAAGGGCUCGCAGGCGGUUUCUUAAGUCUGAUGUGAAAGCCCCCGGCUCAACCGGGGAGGGUCAUUGGAAACUGGGAAACUUGAGUGCGGAAGAGGAGAGUGGAAUUCCACGUGUAGCGGUGAAAUGCGUAGAGAUGUGGAGGAACACCAGUGGCGAAGGCGACUCUCUGGUCUGUAA